rnacentral:rRNA from 1 species
CCUACGGGGGGCUGCAGUGGGGAAUAUUGGACAAUGGGGGGAACCCUGAUCCAGCCAUGCCGCGUGUGUGAAGAAGGCCCUCGGGUUGUAAAGCACUUUCAGUGAGGAAGAACGCCUGGUGGUUAAUACCCAUCAGGAAAGACAUCACUCACAGAAGAAGCACCGGCUAACUCCGUGCCAGCAGCCGCGGUAAUACGGAGGGUGCGAGCGUUAAUCGGAAUUACUGGGCGUAAAGCGCGCGUAGGUGGCUUGAUAAGCCGGUUGUGAAAGCCCCGGGCUCAACCUGGGAACGGCAUCCGGAACUGUCAAGCUAGAGUGCAGGAGAGGAAGGUAGAAUUCCCGGUGUAGCGGUGAAAUGCGUAGAGCUCGGGAGGAAUACCAGUGGCGAAGGCGGCCUUCUGGACUGACACUGACACUGAGGUGCGAAAGCGUGGGUAGCAAACAGGAUUAGAUACCCGAGUAGUC